CACAGUGCUAUGGACUGAGUUGUGCUGCCUUCUCCCCCAAAUUUACGUGUUGAUACCCUAACCCCCAACGUGACAGCAUUGGGCGAUGUAGCCCAUGGAAGGAUCACAAGGAGAAGGUGACUAUCUACAAGCCCAGAAAGGAGCCCUUACUGGACACCCAAUAGGCUGACACCUUGAUCUUGGACUUAUCCUUCAGAACUGAAAGAGAGACCACCAAAGUAUUUACUGGGAAGAGAUUCAACACAGAGAAUUAGGUGCUUACAAAACUGGGGAGGCUGAAGAAACAACUUUGGAGGGACACCAAGCUUAUCCCCUAGUGUUGCUAUUGCCUCCAUGAGCACGAGGAGGGCUAUUCCAAGAGAAGUUCCCAGCAGUAAAUAGGGUCCUGGGAUCUGAGUCCUGGGAUCAGGAAGUCACAUGAGGAAAAUUCCAGGGCUUCAGCUUCUCGACGCUGAGCACGCUGGAGAAGGAACUCUGAUAAGCUGCUGUGAGAAGACCUUACCUGUCCAUUGUCCUGUGAGUCGGCACUAAUAGCUUGGGCUCCAGGGUGAUGGACUCUGACCCAGUCCUGCCUCCCAGGUAUCCCUGAGUACACACUGACCCCUCACAGCAAGGGAGGCUCUGCAGAUGGAGUUGGUGGCUUUCUAAGCCUUUCCAAUGUGACAGAAGGUAGAAUGGUUUCAGCUUUACCAUCUACAAUGUGUGAGGCCUUGGGUAAAUAUAUAGCCUCUGUUUUUCCCCCUGUGAAUAGGUAAAGACACAACUUUCUCAUUCUACCAAUUAGUCAUUUAAGGUCCAGGAAAUUAACGAAUGGGGGGUAUGCUUUUGACAAAGAUGGCAAAAAAGAAAAGUUGUCUGGGUUUUUUUGGUCACCCCUUUUAUUUUGUGUUUGUAUAUGCAUUGUCAUUGUUUUUCUACUUGGAUGUAUGUAAAUACUUGCAUCUUUAUUUUUCUCUUUGUUCUGUGCAGAGUAAAACAGAGCUCUGAGGUCAAAGGGUACCUGAGGAGCACUGGUUGGGAGAAAUGGGGACUCUCACAGUAAUGAGAAGUUUCUUAAACUUAAUAAAGGAAGGCCUCCUGCCCAGCUUUGUGUCUGCCAUAAUACCCACCACAGUCCCUAGCAUCAAGUAGGCAAAGACAAUCCUGAAGCCAUUUUGAUAUGGUGGACGUUAUGCAAAAUUGGAUGAGCCUGGGCCCACCUCUCCUUAGGGGAUUUCUGGAGGCUGAAAUAUGACCGCAUCACAAAAGGGAUCUGAAAGUCCAAUACUAAUUACAUGCAAGGAAGUAUGACUACUCCCUGAGAAAAAAAAAAAUUGACACAAGAACAUCAAUCUGCCAGGGGAGAAGAAGGACACUGAAAAAGAGAGGGGAAGGUGUGUUAGAGGCAAGGUGCCCACUUUUUUUCUCAAGUGAGUCUGUGAAUAACAGUUCUUGGGUUGCAUGGGUCCAUAUGCAAUCCCUUGAAUGAUGGUGAGGGGAGAGGUGGAGAAGAAAGAAGACUCGUGAGACCUCUUACAUCCCUGGCACUGUGAUUUUAUAACUCAUCUUUUAUUCUUGAAAUAGAUGUGUGAGAGAUGUGAAGACACCCUUAAAAAAUAAAAUAAAAGGCAUUUCAAGAUUCUUCCUUCCCUCCUCAAGGUGCUCUGCAGUUCGAUGUUAGACUUUCUCCACUAGGGGUAUGCUCUCAGCUCUGCCAAGAAGGACCAGAGGACCAUCUGGGCAAGUUUAUGAUGGGUAAGCCUGGAGGUUCCACGUCAGCUUGGGUGGUCAAUUCCAAGGAAGGAAAAGCAUCCCCAGGGUUCUCAUGGGAAAACUGCAGGGAGCGUGGGAAUUUAUAUCACAGGGAAAGGCAAAAGCUUUUUAAUCUCUUGCAAUCUGAAUAUUUUCUUGAAAAUCUAAUAAAAAGACUCACCGAUAAUUCCUAAAUGACCAUUCAGCAAGGCAUUUUACCGUUCUCUCUCUCCUUGGAAGCAUCACAUUUUGUCUGUUUGAAGUCUUGCUCUCCACCAGCCUUAAUGUCAGUGUCUCUUCCUGUCUUUCCCCAAUUCCUACUUUUUUAUUAUCCUGUUCAUUUUGUUUUCUGGCCCUAGACAGCAUGGCUUCUCAGGAUAGAGGCAUCCAAGACCAUUGAAAAUGCUAAUUCUCUAUCCCUCACCCUGAUUCUGACUCUAUGUUUCUGGAGCAGUUCUUCUAAAUCUAGAAUCAUAAUGCUUCUCACAUAAUUCAGAUGUUGGACAGAAGGUGUUAACUUGAGUGAUGCCUUAAGAAACACUAGUUUAGCAAAAGAUAAAUUGUAUGUCAAUACAGAGAAGAGCAGCACAAAUGUGUGAUAGGCAGGGGAGAAACACAAUCCUCAUCUCUAGCUUUUCAUCAGUGUAAAACCACUUGCUGAUCCCUGAGUGAACAAUAAGAGAAUUAAGUGUAUGGUGACAAACUGCAUGAUUUAUGUUCAAAAUGAGUCACUUGGAGAUAAUGAAUGAAAAAUAUAUUUUUUAUGUUUACUUGAUUGAUUAGCAGGUUUUAUUACGUUGGUGAACUUAGAGUUAUUGUCUUUUUUUAAGAUUUUAUUUAUUUAUUUUAGUGAAAGAGUGAGAAG